AUCCGGCUGACGAGUCCCAAAUAGGACGAAACACAAGUUCUGGAU
rnacentral:hammerhead_ribozyme from 1 species